CUGCUGCCUCCCGUAGGAGUUUGGUCCGUGUCUCAGUACCAAUGUGGGGGGUUGACCUCUCAGUCCCCCUAUGUAUCGUCGCCUUGGUGAGCCGUUACCUCACCAACUAGCUAAUACAACGCAUGUCCAUCUCUGACCACCUGAGUUUUCAACCACCGAAGAUGCCUCCGGCGAUGUUAUGGGGUAUUAGUACCAAUUUCUCGAUGUUAUCCCCCUGUCAAAGGUAGGUUACAUACGCGUUACGCACCCGUCGCCGGUCGCCGGCA
rnacentral:rRNA from 1 species